rnacentral:rRNA from 2 species
UCUUAUAUUUAAUAUACUAAUCAAAUACUUGGGUAGUAUUAGUAAUGCUUGAAACCUAAAGAAUUUGGCGGUAUUUUAGUCUUUUCAGAGGAAUCUGUCCUAUAAUUGAUAAUACACGAUUUGUUUUACUUAAUUUUGUUGUCAGUUUAUAUACCGCCGUCAUAAGAUUAUUUUUAUUUAAGAAUUAAAUUUUCUUGCUUUUUUAAUAAAUAAUAUGUCAGGUCAAGGUGUAGCUUAUGAUUAAGUGGAGAUGGAUUACAAUAAUAAUAGUUAUUAUGGAUAGUUAAUUUUAAUUUAGUUUGAAGGUGGAUUUGAUUGUAAAUUUAUUUUUAAAUUUUAUAUUGAUUGGAGCUCUAAAAUGUGCACAUAUCGCCCGUCGCUCUCGUUAAUAAGGAGAG